GAAGGGUCGCUAAAGCAAAACAACCAGCCUCUGAAAGUUCCUAAUUUUAUUGGAGGAAAAUUUGUCGAGUCACAAGGGUCUACUAUAAUUGAUGUGAUAAAUCCUGCAACACAAGAGGUUGUUUCUGAAGUUCCGUUAACCACCUAUGAAGAGUUCAAGGAUGCAGUUAUUGCAGCAAAGAAAGCUUUUCCUUCAUGGAAGAACACCCCAAUUGCCACUCGUCAAC
rnacentral:misc_RNA from 1 species